rnacentral:rRNA from 1 species
UACGAAGGGGGCUAGCGUUGCUCGGAAUCACUGGGCGUAAAGCGCACGUAGGCGGAUUGUUAAGUCAGGGGUGAAAUCCUGGAGCUCAACUCCAGAACUGCCUUUGAUACUGAAGAUCUUGAGUCCGGGAGAGGUGAGUGGAACUGCGAGUGUAGAGGUGAAAUUCGUAGAUAUUCGCAAGAACACCAGUGGCGAAGGCGGCUCACUGGCCCGGUACUGACGCUGAGGUGCGAAAGCGUGGGG